ACCUGGGUGGCUCAGUCGGUGGAGCGUCUGACUUCAGCUCAGGUCAUGAUCUCGCGGUCUGUGAGUUCGAGCCGCACAUCGGGCU
rnacentral:tRNA from 1 species